rnacentral:rRNA from 1 species
GUGGGGAAUUUUGGACAAUGGGCGCAAGCCUGAUCCAGCAAUGCCGCGUGUGUGAAGAAGGCCUUCGGGUUGUAAAGCACUUUUGUCCGGAAAGAAAUGGCCUGGGUUAAUACCCCGGGUCGAUGACGGUACCGGAAGAAUCAGCACCGGCUAACUACGUGCCAGCAGCCGCGGUAAUACGUAGGGUGCGAGCGUUAAUCGGAAUUACUGGGCGUAAAGCGUGCGCAGGCGGCGAUGCAAGACAGAUGUGAAAUCCCCGGGCUCAACCUGGGAACUGCAUUUGUGACUGCAUGGCUAGAGGGCGUCAGAGGGGGGUGGAAUUCCGCGUGUAGCAGUGAAAUGCGUAGAGAUGCGGAGGAACACCGAUGGCGAAGGCAGCCCCCUGGGAUGACACUGACGCUCAUGCACGAAAGCGUGGGGAGCAAACAGGAUUAGAUACCCCGGUAGUCC